rnacentral:rRNA from 1 species
CCUACGGGUGGCAGCAGUGGGGAAUAUUGGGCAAUGGGCGGAAGCCUGACCCAGCAACGCCGCGUGAAGGAAGAAGGCUUUCGGGUUGUAAACUUCUUUUGUCAGGGACGAAGCAAGUGACGGUACCUGACGACCAAGCCACGUCUAACUACGUGCCAGCAGCCGCCGUAAUACGUGGGAGGCGAGCGUUCACCGGAUUUACUGGGUGUAAAGGUCGUGUAGGCGGGACUGCAAGUCAGAUGUGAAAACCACGGGGUCAACCUGUGGCCUGCAUUUGAAACUGGAGUUCUUGAGUACUGGAGAGGCAGACGGAAUUCCUAGUGUAGCGGUGAAAUGCGUAGAUAUUAGGAGGAACACCAGUGGCGAAGGCGACUAUCUGGCACUUAACUGACGCUGAGGUGCGAAAGCGUGGGUAGCAAACAGGAUUAGAUACCCUUGUAGUC